rnacentral:rRNA from 1 species
UACGUAGGGUGCAAGCGUUAAUCGGAAUUACUGGGCGUAAAGCGUGCGCAGGCGGUCAUGCAAGACAGAUGUGAAAUCCCCGGGCUCAACCUGGGAACUGCAUUCGAGACUGCAUUGCUGGAGUACGGAAGAGGAGGGCGGAAUUCCCGGUGUAGCGGUGAAAUGCGUAGAUAUCGGGAGGAACAUCAGUGGCGAAGGCGGCCCUCUGGUCCAGUACUGACACUCAAGUGCGAAAGCGUGGGGAGCAAACAGG